CCUACGGGAGGCAGCAGUGAGGAAUAUUGGUCAAUGGACGCAAGUCUGAACCAGCCAUGCCGCGUGCAGGAAGAUUGCUCUAUGAGUUGUAAACUGCUUUUGUACGAGGGUAAACGCAUAUACGCUUAUCUGUCUGUAUGUAUCGUACGAAUACGGAUCGGAUAACUCCGUGCCAACAGCCGCUGUAAUACGGAGGAUUCAAGCGUUAUCCGGAUUUAUUGGGUUUAAAGGGUGCGUAGGCGGACGGAUAAGUUAGAGGUGAAAUCCCGAGGCUGAACUUCUAAAUUGCCUCUGAUACUGGUAGGCUAGAGAGUAGUUGCGGUAGGCGGAAUGUGUGGUGUAGCGGUGAAAUGCUUAGAGAUCAUACAGAACACCGAUUGCGAAGGCAGCUUACCAAGCUACAUCUGACGUUGAGGCACGAAAGCGUGGGGAGCAAACAGGAUUAGAUACCCUGGUAGUC
rnacentral:rRNA from 1 species